GGACACGGGCUUCCACGGCUUACACGAUUUUUGCACUUCUUUCAGGACACAUCGGCCGUCGACAAGUUGAUCCAACAACCAUGCGCUGCUUUUACCAUCUGCGAUAACCGGCCACGCCCCCGCUCUCGGCAGUUUGGCAGUGGCAGUGGCGAGCGACGGACACGGGCUUCCACGGCUUACACGAUUUUUGCACUUCUUUCAGGUUGGUGCACUUUUUCCUGUUAAUUUUGCCCUGUGGGUCUAUUCUAGCGCCACUGCCGCUGCCAAACCUGUCGCAACGUUGGUGUUCUACAUAACUGUUUUUGAUGACGGAUACAGAGGAAGAAGUUUGCAUCGCUUGCAACAAAACAAUUGAUACUCCUGAAAGCUUGGUCAAAUGCAAAGACUGUCAGUACCCAUAUCAUGUACAAGGCUGCUCCGGAGUUUCUGAGUCGGGUAAACCAUUGAGUGCUCGUUCUCGUAAAGCGUUCCUCUGUCCUACAUGUAAAACGGGGACUUCUCGUAGCGGAAAAAUGCCCCCCACAGCCCAGGCUCCUGCUUUUGACAUGGCCUCUGCUUUUCUAGAGCUGAAUAAAAAACUAGACAG